AAGAAUGUGAACUUGCCAUUACUGACUUGGAGAGCGGCCGUGAAGAUGAGGCUGGCUUGCAGCAGAGUCAGGCCGUGCAUGGCCUUGAACUGGAGGCGCUGCGCCUGAGUCUGAGCAACAUGCACACGGCGCAGCUGGAGCUGACACAGGCCAACCUCCAGAAGGAGAAGGAGACGGCACUGACGGAGCUGCGGGAGAUGCUUAACAGCCGGCGUGCCCAGGAGCUGGCCCUGCUACAGAGCAGGCAGCAGCACGAGCUGGAGCUCCUCAGGGAGCAGCACGCACGGGAGAAGGAGGAGGUGGUGCUCAGGUGUGGACAGGAAGCAGCUGAGCUGAAGGAGAAGUUACAAUCAGAAAUGGAGAAAAACGCCCAGAUAGUAAAGACCCUGAAGGAAGACUGGGAAUCUGAAAAAGAUUUAUGUUUAGAAAAUCUACGCAAAGAAUUGUCUGCAAAGCAUCAAUCAGAAAUGGAGGAUUUACAAAACCAGUUUCAUAAAGAAUUGGCAGAACAGAGAGCUGAGUUGGAGAAGAUUUUUCAAGACAAAAACCAGGCUGAAUGGGCCCUGAGGAACCUGGAGAGUCAUCAUCAAGCAACCAUUGAGAAGUUACGUGAAGACCUGCAGUCCGAGCACGGCCGGUGUUUAGAAGACUUGGAGUUCAAGUUCAAAGAGAGCGAGAAAGAAAAACAGCUGGAGAGCUACAUGAGGAACUCCUGGCGCGCGCCUCUCACGUGGAAGAUUUAGAACAGCUGAAGCAGCGAGAAAAAACCCAGCAUGAGUCCGAACUGGAGCAACUGAGGAUUUAUUUUGAAAAGAAAUUAAGGGAUGCUGAGAAAACUUACCAAGAAGACCUAACCUUGUUACAGCAGAGGCUGCAGGGGGCGAGCGAAGAUGCU
rnacentral:sRNA from 1 species